GACGGUUAUGACCCUAGCAUUGCAUAUACUACACUUACUGCCGCCUGAAAAUUACAAGUCAACUGCUGAAAUCUUCAAGGACCAGGCGGUACCUCACACCCACCUAGAGGAGCCUGUUCUAUAAUCGAUACUCCACGCUAAACCUCACCACUCCUCGCCACCCAGCCUAUAUACCGCCAUCUUCAGCAAACAAAUGAGUG
rnacentral:rRNA from 1 species